UAUUUUACAAAUAUAAUUAUAGUUGAUCAUUCAUUCAUGGGUAGAUGAUUGAAAUAACAUAAUACACCAUUGUUUUUCACAUAUAGAGUAUGUUUCUAUAAUACUCUUAAUUCUAUCUCAAAAUAUCCCAAAUUAUGAAAUAGCAAGUCAAAAUAUGAUUUGUAGCACUUGAGACAAAAUUUAUCUUAAAAUUCAAUAAAUUAUCUGGACAUAGCACGAGCACAACACUAGUUUGUAUUAAUGAUAUACUUUAGCCAGCUCAUCUAUAGCAUUAUAGCAUAAAAUUCAAAAUCUACACUUGAUUUGGAAUACAAUCAAUUCCCAAAAAAAAAAAUUAAUAAAUAAAUAAAUAAAAAUACUCUCAAAACUAACAAAGAUCACAAAUUUAAAAACUCAAUUAGCAUAGUUUCUUAAUCUAGUACCCAAAAAAAAAAAAAAAAAACUCGCAAAGAAAGACGAAAAUCACUAAACUACCCAAAUUCGGGCAUAAAACCAAUUGUUCUUGGUUGAUCUGGUCACCGUCUUUCUUAUAUAGCUUUGCAAAAUCACUUCUGUUUCCUUCUCCCAAUUACUGCGUUUACUCUUCUCUGUGCUUCUAGAUCUCUGGAUUCUUAUUCUCUCUCAUCCAUAAUUUUAAUCAUCAAGAUCAAAUUCAGCCCCACCCAAAUCCAUUACAAAAGUAAAUGUCAGGAUGUAAAGGUGUAGCCCAAUGGAUUUUUUAACCUCACAUUGUAUAUGGGUCCAUGACUCCGUGAGAGCGUGAUGCAUUCCGCCUUUAGUCGUCCUUCACCGAAUGAGCUGCCACCUUCAGUCAAUCACUAAAUCAAUCUGUGUCUCCGUGACGCUUUAGUGAGUUCAGUCCUUCACCAUUACGCGGUAUUUACGCCUCGGUGGUUCCGGCGUUCGCCAGUUGCCCAGCUGUUGAUUGUCUGGCGAGCUUGCCUUUCCGGUUAGUCGGUUUCCUUUAAAUCUUUAAUGCCUAUUUCUGCCUUGCUGGCUUGCUGUGAUUGUGAAUGCUCAAUGCUGUCUUUCAUGAUUUCAAUUUCAUUGCUGUCGAUUGUCGAAUACUCAAAAUUGUCUAAUUGGAAUUUGUGAAUAUUGUUGAAAUUGUCUAAUUGUGAUUGGAAUUAUGUUGGGUUAAACAAUAAUUGAAGAAGACCUCUUAUUGUUGGAAUUAUUCCUCUUAAUAUUUCCUUAAUUUUAAAGCAAAAAAUUAAAUUGCAUAGAGCAAGAGUGAUUUGUAAAGGAUUACAAGGCUCAUUUAAAAUUUACAUAGAAGCUAAAAAUCCCUACUUAAAGAAACUAACUAAAACAUAGCUCUUGCAAAAGGGCAAAAAAAAAAAAAAAAACUCAAAAAAUGCUAACAACAUAACUUAGAUCAUUAUAUACAGUCAUACAAAUAAUGUUUGAAAGCUUAGUCCAUAAAUGCAAUCCAAGGAUCUCUAAUGUUGUCAUAUAAAAUUUAACUCUAAACACAUUGAAAAAUUAAGCAGCCAAAAAAGUUGCCAAAAGAGCUUACACGAAAUUUCACAUAUGCAAAUUGCCAAAGUAUGAAAACUCAUAUAAUGCUUUUGUAGUUUUUUUUCUUCAUUUUUUUUAUGGGUAAUCUAUUUGUAAUCCACGAUUUGAACUUAUGUAUUGAAUAUUUAAUUAUUAUAAUUUCAUUCUUUUGUUAAUUACGAUUCCGAACCGAACCCACACUUCGUAAAUCCUGGAGACGCCACUGGUUCUUGGUUGAUCUGAUCACCAUCUUAUUUAGCUUUGCAAAAUCACUUCUGUUUCCUUCUCCCAAUUACUGCGUUUACUCUUCUCUGUGUUUCUAGAUCUCUGGAUUCUUAUUCUCUCUCAUCCAUAAUUUGAAUCAUCAAGAUCAAAUUCAGCCCCACCCAAAUUUAUUACAAAAGGUACUAUUAUUGCAAAUCAAUUGAUUAAUUUUGCUUCAUUUUUUGACUUUUUGUUUAGAGAUUCUAAUUUUUUCCUUCAAUUGUUCAUCUGGGUGUUUGAUUAAUGUUGUUAAUUUUAGACAUAUUAUAGGAAAUUGAUCUGGGUUUAUGAGCUUUUUUGUUAAUUUUGAGUGUAUAUUGUUGUUGGGUUUUUAUGAUUUUAUAGAUUUGUAUUUAUAAUGGUGCUGAUUUUUUUGGAUAGCGUAAAUAUUUGAGGUUUAUGUUUGUAUCAUUGACCUGCAGAUUGUUGAGCUUGCAAUUAAGGCUCAUUGUUUAGGUUUUUGACUUCUUGUACUUCUUAUAAGUUAUUGGUCUGGAUAUUAGAGCUCUCACGUCAAUUCAGAAGUCUUAAAUCGGUUUUUAAUUUACAUUUUUUGUUCUUUAUGCUUAGAAACUUGCAGUUUUGUUUGAUUUCGGGUUUCGGCUUUAUGCUCUUAGUAAUCAAUCUGAUUCAAUGUAUAGCCAGUAAUAUAGUCUCAUAUUCUAGUUUCUUUGUCAAGUUCUUCCCAUUAUUUCCACAAAUAUAUGAGCUUGCUCGCCAAUUUUGCAUCAAUAAUGUGCUUCUAGAAUUAUCUGAUUAAAUUUUGCUCAUUCAUAUGUGUAUGAUUCUGGUUGGUUGUCUAUGUUUUCUUGGUGAUUUAUCACACCCCAUCUGACCUUUCUCUCUACCUCUUUUAACCUUUUGAAUUGAACCUUGAGAGGAAGAUUUUGGUUUCGUUUAAAUUGAAGUUGUGGCGAUUUUUGUUUGUGAACAAGGGUUACUUCAUUCAGUUACAUGUGAUUGAGCUAUGGAUGAGUGUUGCUGUUGAACCUCUUUGCCCAUAUCCAUGAAAAUGAGAGCAUAUCCUGAAUUUGCUCUAACCUAUCACCUCUGGCAAACUUUUUUUUAUUGAUGUAUUAUUCUAGCUAUUCUCACUCGAUUAUUUUUGGAAACCUUUAGUGCAAGUUGCCAAAAUCUCAUUCUAAUCAAGUAUUGUCUCUUUCUGUAGUUAUCCUAUAAUUUUUCUAAUUUCUAUCGCCACAUUUACAUCCCAAGUCUUUAGCACCAGAUUGUUCCAAAAUUGUUAUGAAAAUUAAAUAAAAGAACACUUCAUUUGAAAA